ensembl:lncRNA
UCUUAACCACACACAGGUGUAGCCACUCAUUCAUUACCCGCUCGUUCUCUGUGACACGUCUUCCCAUUUACAGCCAGCACUUGACCACAACUACACUUCCACAGUUGCAACCAUACGAAGUCAUAAAGAACUCAAAAGGAUAUGGCGCAACUGCGAUACUUCCUAGAGGAGGCCAUCCACCAAACGUCAGUGAACGAGUAAGGAGGGCAUCAUUGGGAGGCAGGUUCUGCUGUAAUAGACGUUUAUCCAUUCAGUCACGGCUCUCCACGCUGACUUAAUAAACUGAAUGUACAAGAGAGAGUAGCCUGGAGUGAAGAGCGGCUCGGAUGGAAAUGAAUCAGCCUCGGCUCCGGGUUUCUUCGGCUGGAACUCGUCCACAUCCAGCCUGUGGUACAGGAGCUUGUUUCAGGAGUGUGCUGAAGUCUGUUUUUCUCCAUGAUUAUCACAGCCUCUCUGUGUAGGACACUACAGAAUGAUAUUCACGACAAGAGUGACAAGUGAUGCGUGUUAAAGCCGAAGUUGAAGCUGUUGGAGUAAAUCCAUGUGAUAGCAAUCACCAUCACCGUGAUAUCAUAUUUGGUAACAGUUUAUUUUAAGGGGGCCUACUGUAAACCAGGCCUGUGGUGAAUUCUUGAAUCUGAUUGGUCAGAAGGUGUUGAUUUAAUGUGCUAUAACGGCACUUCUGAUAAUAGUGCAGCUGCGUUAAUGUGCUCAUUCUAAUAUGUUCUCAUUUCUAUAGUAACAGCUCAUUUAUAGG